GCUCCUGUAUAGUGCACUUGUUCCCUAGUUAGUGGUGCUAUUUAGGAAGGCUUGUGGAAACUUUAUAAAGAAAGGCUUUCCUGAUAAAAGUGGAUAAUUAUGAGUGGCAUUUAAGGUUCCAGAUAUGAUUCCAGCCAUUCUGUUUUGCCUGGUCAGUCAUGAGAAGAGCAGUCACUCUCACAUACAACACUGCCAUGGAGUGAGCAACUCCACCAUGCCUGCUGUGGUAUGAUACACUGCAGAUCUUUGAACAUGAGUCAAAAUAAACCUUUGAUCCAUUUUUUUCUCCCAGGUGUAGAGUCACAGGAGCAAGAAAAAAACUAAGGGGCUGGAAAGAUGUUUCAGUGGGCUUUCUGGCUACAUUUGUGUCAACUUGAGACAAGCUAAAAGUCUUCUGAGAUCAGGGAAUCUCAACUGAGAGAAUGCCUCAAUGAGACUGGGCUGAAGGCAAACUAGCAAGGUAUUUUCUUAACUAGUGAUUGAUGUGGUGGCCUAAUCCAUUGUAGGUGGUGCCACUCCUGAGCUGAUGGACCUAGGGUCUAUAAUCAAACAGGCUGAGCUUGGCUGGUGACAUGGCUCCAUGGUUAAGAGGACUUCCACAGGUCCUAGGUUCAGAUCCCAGCAACCAUAUAGUGGCUCAUAACUAUCUGUAAUGGGACAUGAUUCUUUCUUCUCAUGUGCAUUAAAGAAGAACACUCACACACAUAAAAUAUAUAAAUAAAACUUUAAAAAGAAAAGAGGGUUGGUUCCGGGACUCAGCAGAAUUUAGGAAAUUAGUCUGAACAGGUUAGAGGGUGCGCCAGUGAACCGGACAGCUUCUGGGACAGGCAGAAGCACAGAGCCACUGAGGCAGUACCCUUUGCAGGCUGCAGACAGCCGGCCACCGUCCGGACCAGAGGACAGGUGUCCGCCUGGCUCGGGAGGCGGCCUCAGCCUCAGGAGCAGCGGUCGCCAUCUUGGUUCCAGGACUCCCUGGAACUUAGGAAUUUAGUCUGCACAGGUGAGAGUCUGCACCACAGAAGCUGACAGCUUCUGGGAACUGCCAAAGCAACACAGCUUCUGAGAGAGGCCCUGUUUUGGGCCUUCUUCUUCGACCAGGAGGAGGUCCAAAAACAAGAUAAAAAGGGAAGUAGAAACAAUAAAGAAAACUCAAAGUGAGGCAACACUGGAGAUAGAAACCCUAGG
rnacentral:lncRNA from 1 species